rnacentral:rRNA from 1 species
CGACGUGAGUAACCUGCCUUGGAGUGGGGAAUAACACAGUGAAAACUGUGCUAAUACCGCAUAAUGCAUUUGGGUCGCAUGAUUCUGAAUGCCAAAGGUUUAUCGCUCUGAGAUGGACUCGCGUCUGAUUAGCUAGUUGGCGGGGUAACGGCCCACCAAGGCGACGAUCAGUAGCCGGACUGAGAGGUUGGCCGGCCACAUUGGGACUGAGACACGGCCCAG